rnacentral:rRNA from 1 species
AUUAGAACGCUGGCGGCAUCGCCUUACACAUGCAAGUCGAACGGUAACAGGUCUUCGGAUGCUGACGAGUGGCGAACGGGUGAGUAAUACAUCGGAACGUGCCCGAUCGUGGGGGAUAACGCAGCGAAAGCUGUGCUAAUACCGCAUACGAUCUACGGAUGAAAGCGGGGGACUCGCAAGGGCCUCGCGCGGACGGAGCGGCCGAUGGCAGAUUAGGUAGUUGGUGGGAUAAAAGCUUACCAAGCCGACGAUCUGUAGCUGGUCUGAGAGGACGACCAGCCACACUGGGACUGAGACACGGCCCAGACUCCUACGGGAGGCAGCAGUGGGGAAUUUUGGACAAUGGGCGCAAGCCUGAUCCAGCCAUGCCGCGUGCAGGAUGAAGGCCUUCGGGUUGUAAACUGCUUUUGUACGGAACGAAAAAAGCUCUCUCUAAUACAGGGGGUGAAUGACGGUACCGUAAGAAUAAGCACCGGCUAACUACGUG